GGAGAAUUAAAUGAGAUAAGGGACAUAGCACACUUAGCACAGUGUCUGGCACACACUGAGCCUUGUGCUUCUUGGAGAAUGUUUUAGCAUUCUAAACAAAAUUUGAAACUUCUUCUUAGUUUAAAACUUUUCCUCUUCACUCAUUUCAAAUCACUGGUGAAGGGGUAGCAAAUAGGUUUCUACUAAUGAGCCAACACAAUCUGGUGGCCAUAACAAAUUAGUCAGAGUUGGCACAUAAGGAGAGGAAGUAUUUAUUAUCCAGUUCUGAUUCAGUCAUUCUCCUUUAUUUUUAACAUUGUUUGUUACAGAUGGAAGAGGAACCCUGCAUUGGUUAGACACAGAAGACACAGUUCCUGACUGACAUAAUACAAGAAAAAGAAGUGAAUUAGAGUAGCUGACUUUUGACUAAAAGGUUUUGAUCCAUGACAUAAUUUUUUAAAAAUUGCAUUACCUGUAUUACCUUGAGGUUACAAAACAGUGGUCAAAAAAGGUUGUGGGAACUUCCACUCCCGACCAAGAUAAAGUAACAGGGACUAUAAUCUCCUUCUACCAAUAACAACCCCCAAAAUGGAUAAAAUAUAGGAAGCAAUGGUUUUCAAGACACCGGAGGGCAGUCAACAAAGGAUAGUGAUCCCUAAGAGACAGGAAAUAAGCCAGACGAAUCCUCUGAGUAACCCUGCUUCCCAUCUUGGAGAGUUUCCAGGCCACAGUGCUGGGAGGGGGAGCUCAGUAGAGUGCCAGGGACUCUGGGAGUUGAGAUAAAGUUGAGAGUCCAGGGGACUGUCAUGGCUGGAGUUCACAGGACAGAGUGCUGGAGAGGAGAGAGCUGCACAGAGAGAACUUGAAAGGCCUGCAAAGGGUUCCCCUCAAGUAUUCGGCUGAGUACUAAUUAGUACCUGUCUGUGAGGAAAUUACCUGAAGCUGGGGAAAGAAACCCCUAAAUAUAUUAGGGGUAGCAGGAUCUGGUGCUCACACAGAGCUGAGAAUAUUUGCCCUUCUCACCAGCCAGACUGGAAAACCCCAUGAUUCACAGGACAUUAGUUGUAAAGAUACAUUUGAAAAGAGAAGAUGACAUCAAUAUAUUUGAUGGCGUCCCCGUGAAGAGUGGUUGCCAAUACUACAGGAAGAGAAAAGAACUUUGAAAAGUAGAUAGAAUUUCACUCCGCAAAGCAUUGUUUAGUGGGAAUCAUUAAGACCUUACAUCAAAGAUAUCGUCUCAGAUAAAAGUUUUGUUUUAUUUUUAACUGAACCACAUGGAAAGAACAAAUGCGAAUUAAGGUAGAUAGCAUUAGACUAAAUUAAAAGUACAAUGGAGAACUGACUCUCUUGGAAAUUUUUCUAAACUGCAUGAUUUAGUCAAACAAAAUCAUCAGCUCUCUUUUUUCAAAGUCAACAAUCUCUACAUAUAAA
rnacentral:lncRNA from 1 species